rnacentral:rRNA from 1 species
AACGUACGCUGGCGGCACGCCUAACACAUGCAAGUCGAACGAAGUAGUAAUACUUAGUGGCAGACGGGUGAGUAACAUGUAGGUAUCUGCCCUUUGGCCUGGAAUAACACGAGGAAACUUGUGCUAAUACCGGAUAAGUCUUUACGGAGAAAGCUUUAUGCACCAUUGGAUGAGCCUGCACUUGAUUAGUUUGUUGGUGGGGUAAUGGCCUACCAAGACUGUGAUCAAUAGCUGAUUUGAGAGGAUGAUCAGCCACAUUGGGACUGAGACACGGCCCAAACUCCUACGGGAGGCAGCAGUGGGGAAUCUUGCACAAUGGAGGAAACUCUGAUGCAGCGAUGCCGCGUGAGUGAAGAAGGCCCUUGGGUUGUAAAGCUCUUUCGUCGGGGAAGAAAAUGACUGUACCCGAAUAAGAAGGUCCGGCUAACUUCGUGCCAGCAGCCGCGGUAAUACGAAGGGACCUAGCGUAGUUCGGAAUUACUGGGCUUAAAGAGUUCGUAGGUGGUUGAAAAAGUUAGUGGUGAAAUCCCAGAGCUUAACUCUGGAACUGCCAUUAAAACUUUUCAGCUAGAGUAUGAUAGAGGAAAGCAGAAUUUCUAGUGUAGAGGUGAAAUUCGUAGAUAUUAGAAAGAAUACCAAUUGCGAAGGCAGCUUUCUGGAUCAUUACUGACACUGAGGAACGAAAGCAUGGGUAGCGAAGAGGAUUAGAUACCCUCGUAGUCCAUGCCGUAAACGAUGUGUGUUAGACGUUGGAAAUUUAUUUUCAGUGUCGCAGGGAAACCGAUAAACACACCGCCUGGGGAGUACGACCGCAAGGUUAAAACUCAAAUGAAUUGACGGGGACCCGCACAAGUAGUGGAGCAUGUGGUUUAAUUCGAAGAUACGCGCAGAACCUUACCAACACUUGACAUGUUCGUCGCGACUCUAAGAGAUUAGAGUUUUCGGUUCGGCCGGACGAAACACAGGUGCUGCAUGGCUGUCGUCAGCUCGUGUCGCGAGAUGUUGGGUUAAGUCCCGCAACGAGCGCAACCCUCACUUUUAGUUGCCAUCAUUAAGUUGGGCACUCUGAAAGAACUGCCAGUGAUAAGCUGGAGGAAGGUGGGGAUGACGUCAAGUCCUCAUGGCCCUUACGUGUUGGGCUACACACGUGCUACAAUGGUAUCUACAACAGGAAGCAAGACUGCGAAGUUAAGCAAAUCCCUAAAAGAUACCUCAGUUCGGAUUGCACUCUGCAACUCGAGUGCAUGAAGCUGGAAUUACUAGUAAUCGUGGAUCAGCGUGCCACGGUGAAUGCGUUCCCGGGUCU